GCGGGAGUGCCGGAGUGGUCAAACGGGGCGGCCUUAGGAGCCGUUAGCUUAUGCUUGCGAGGGUUCGAAUCCUUUCUCCCGCA
rnacentral:tRNA from 1 species